rnacentral:rRNA from 1 species
CCUACGGGUGGCAGCAGUGGGGAAUAUUGCGCAAUGGGCGAAAGACUGACGCAGCGACGCCGCGUGAGGGAUGAAGGUGUACGGAACGUAAAACGCUGUCAGCAGGGAAGAAAGGUCACUGUGCUAAUCAGCAGUGAAUUGACGGUACCUGCAAAGGAAGCACCGGCUAACUCCGUGCCAGCAGCCGCGGUAAUACGGAGGGGGCGAGCGUUAAUCGGAAUUACUGGGCGUAAAGCGCUCGUAGGCGGUAUGUCAAGUCAAGGGUGAAAUCCCCGCGCUCAACGUGGGAACUGCCUUUGAAACUGGCAAACUGGAGUGUGUGAGAGGCUCGUGGAAUUCCAGGUGUAGGCGUGAACUCCGUAGAUAUCUGGAGGAACAUCAGUGGCGAAGGCGACUCUCUGGCACAUAACUGACGCUGAGGAGCGAAAGCGUGGGUAGCAAACAGGAUUAGAUACCCCAGUAGUC